AUGUUAUGGUCAAUUAGGAUACCUUAGCAACUCCUUGAAGAAUAUGAAUAAGUUUAUUGGCUGAGGUGGAAUCAAGACCGGAAGUUGGUUCAUCAAGCAACAACAAUGAAGGAUCAACAAGAAUUUCGUAGCCAAUACUAGUCCUUUUUCUUUCUCCUCCUGAUAUUCCUUUAACUAAUCCUCCCCCGAUUCUCGUGUGACGACAUCUACAGUUAUGCAACAGAUAACUUAGAAAAGAAGGCUCAUGUCACUCGGAAGUCUCAGAAAUGCUGAAAAAACUAAGGUUUCUUCCACUGUUAGUUGGGGAAGCAAGAUAUCAUCUUGUGUCACAAAUCCAAUCCUGCAAGAAAAUGAAACACUCAAAAUCGACUGAAUGACGAAAAAAAGAAAAGCUUCGAUAAAAAUGAGCUAACCUUCGUUUAAGAGCCGGAUUGUAAGAAGGACCCAUCAAAGCUAGGAUUUCACCAGGGCCAGUGCUGCCUGUUACACCUUUAAGGAUCUCCUUGUAUUUAUCUUGUUCCAAGUUAAGUUGCGAGGCAAACUUUGACACCAUCACUCGCAACGGGUUGAUUGAGGCGGCUUGGCUACUUCGAACCUUGUAUUCCACAUCUUCAAACUUCAUUUACGAAACCAAUCAAAAAAGUUAAUACCGAUAAAUAUCAAAUAAAUCAAAAGAACCCAAGAAAUCAACUACCUUGAGAAAUAUGGGGAGAGGGUGGUCUUUAUCAGCAUACACGGUGUAGUCCUCAAUAUCGAUUUCAGAGUAUCGGUUUCUGAGGUAAGCCUGAGACAUGAACUCAAUGUUAUGACCAAAACCAUUGCUUCCUGCAAUCUGCAUAGACCCCAUUGUUGGUGGGGACAAUGGCAUUGGCAUGUCCUCAAUUUCACCCUCUUUUCUAUUUUCCAUAAUUGAAAACCUUUAACUAAAUAGUUGUGUGUAUAUAAAGUGGGUGUAAAAAUGAAGUGAAUCAACUGUGAUGAACCAAAUGCUUGCCUAUAUAUUGAGGGGAAGAGCCUUGGCUGGUAGACCACAUGCUUUCCAUUCUAUGCCUGCCUGCCCUUGUUUUAAUGAAGUAUUUUCAAAUAAAAAUACAAACUAUAUGUAGCCAGAAGAACAUGCCAAGAAUAUGAAUUUGAUUUGGGGUUUUAUUUAA